rnacentral:ncRNA from 1 species
UAAUAAGCAAAGACAGGGACAGUACGUUCUUAUAAUGAAUCCUUUCUAGCGAGUCGGGGACGGUGUGAGCCCGACAAGGAAAGAAGCACGGAAGAUCACCCUCGAGCCCUGCUCAUGAAAUUUCUCUUAAAAGAGUAAUGAGUGGCGAUUUAUUCACGUUACGAAUCAACAAGUGAAGACCCUUUUCGGUCUUUAUGAGGGUGGUACCGCGGGAAAAGCUUUCUCGUCCCUAUU